AAUCAACGCUGGCGGCGUGCCUCAGACAUGCAAGUCGAACGAUUAAAGCUCUCUUCGGAGAGUGCAUAGAGUGGCGCACGGGUGAGUAACACGUAAGUAAUCUACCCUCGAGUGGGGAAUAACGUCCGGAAACGGACGCUAAUACCGCAUAAUGCAGCGGCACCGCAAGGUGACAGUUGUUAAAGAUUUAUCGCUUGAGGAGGAGCUUGCGGCAGAUUAGCUAGUUGGUAAGGUAAUGGCUUACCAAGGCUACGAUCUGUAACCGGUCUUAGAGGACGGUCGGUCACACUGACACUGAAUAACGGGUCAGACUCCUACGGGAGCAGCAGUCGGGAAUUUUGGGCAAUGGGCGAAAGCCUGACCCAGCAACGCCGCGUGAAGGAUGAAGUAUUUCGGUAUGUAAACUUCGAAAGAAUAGGAAGAAUAAAUGACGGUACUAUUUAUAAGGUCCGGCUAACUACGUGCCAGCAGCCG
rnacentral:rRNA from 1 species